rnacentral:rRNA from 1 species
UAGUUGGUGAGGUAACGGCUCACCAAGGCAACGAUGCGUAGCCGACCUGAGAGGGUGAUCGGCCACACUGGGACUGAGACACGGCCCAGACUCCUACGGGAGGCAGCAGUAGGGAAUCUUCCGCAAUGGACGAAAGUCUGACGGAGCAACGCCGCGUGAGUGAUGAAGGCUUUCGGGUCGUAAAACUCUGUUGUUAGGGAAGAACAAGUGCUAGUUGAAUAAGCUGGCACCUUGACGGUACCUAACCAGAAAGCCACGGCUAACUACGUGCCAGCAGCCGCGGUAAUACGUAGGUGGCAAGCGUUAUCCGGAAUUAUUGGGCGUAAAGCGCGCGCACGUGGUUUCUUAAGUCUGAUGUGAAAGCCCACGGCUCAACCGUGGAGGGUCAUUGGAAACUGGGAGACUUGAGUGCAAAGAGGAAGUGGAAUUCCAUGUGUAACGGUGAAUGCGUAGAGAUAUGGACGAACACCAUGGCGAAGGCGACUCUUCUGGUCUGUCACUGACACUGGAGGCGCGAAAGCGUGGGGAGCCAACAUGAUUGAUGAUGCUGCGUAAUCUACGCCGCAAACGACGAGAGCUGCAGAGUGAAAGCGGUUUCUCCCCCUUUAGUGCUGCAGAU